ensembl:lncRNA
CCAUGUGCUUAGCAAACGGAGGUAGAGUUAGCUCCUCUGGGCCUCUCCAAAUAGGAGUAGAAAUGUUCAAAUGCAGAGAGCAAUGAUAAGCCCUGCUCUUUUGGCUUGCCUUUCUGUUCACUCAGCUACACUUUCAUCCUUGGAAAAAUAAUCAGUAACAUGUUUUUAUUUCAAGGAUCAUGUGCCAUGUUUUGGAAGCCCAGAGGCAAUGGGAAUGCUGGGCUCACCCCCGAGCACAGCAAGUUCUGUGCACCAGGAGGGCCCAGUUCCCAGUGCCAUCUUAUAAGAGGCUGAGCAAGCCAUGAGGAACAAGCCAGUAGGCAGCACCCCUCCAUGGCCUCUGCAUCAGCUCCUGCCUCCAGGUUGCUGUCCUGUUUGAGUUUCUGCCCUCUUUGAGGAUGAACUGCUAUAUGGAACCCAGUGAAUAAACCAUUUCCUCCAACUUGCUUUUGGUCAAGGGUCUAUCAGUAACAGACAACUGUCAAUAACAUUCUAGAAUAGUUCGAUUCUAGUAGAAGCUGGGUUCUUUUUUUUUCCCCUUGGUCAGCUUGUCACAGGUUAGAGGUACUUGGCUAGAAAAAACGAUCAAAAAAGAAAUCUCCCAUCAGAUUGCCUGUAGGCCAAGUCUGUAGGGCAUUUUCUUGAUUAAUGCUUGAUGAGGGAGGGCCUGGCCCACUGGGGAUUGUACCUCCCCUGGGCAGGUGGCCUGGGUUAUGUAAAGAAGCUAAGGAAGUAAUAGGGAGUAAGCAGUAAGUUUGGAGUAAAGUCAGUAAAGCAGGGCUUUUCCUCCAAUUUUUCCCUUCCAUUCCCGCCAUGGCUCCCUCAAUGGACUAACCUGGGGUGUAUAAGACAAAUAAGUCUUUUCUUUAAGUUGCUUUUGAUCAGGUUUUAUCACAGCAGCAGGAACAAAUCCUAACUAAAACCCAGAUGGCUUCAAUUAUAAUAUACAACAAAAAUCCCUAGUUACUGAGUUCACUGGCUAGUCACGUCUGUGUGCUUUAUGGGAUGGACUCUGCUCUUCCAGCCUCACGCAAUGCCAGAUCUGAGAUAGCUACAUUUCCAGUGAUGACUAUUCUAACCCAAGUUCAGAUCGAAACAGACCCAGCAUCCAAGCAGGUGAGCUGCAGCCCACGAGUCCUGGCACGGUUUGCCUAUGAAUUCCCUGUAACUAGCACUAUCAGCAGAGGGUCCACUAAAUUAGGUACCACUAACUCCCUUCAUCACCCAGAACACGAUCCCUCCCGUCCACACCCAGUUUGAACUGACAUUCACUGAAGUACUAAAAGCUGGAGUUUCCUCUAAGCUUUGCUUCACUAGACCCAGCUCUGGUUCACACCAGGCUGAACCGAUAGUGGCAGGACUCGCCUACUUUUCCAAGGAUCACAACUUUACACUGUGGAUUCCAAGUCUACCUGUAGGCCGAGCAUUCCACAGGCUCAUCCUCAGAUCAGCCCCAUCCACAGUACCUUAAACUCUCUUCCCUUUGGGCUCCCUGCUUGGGCCACUCAGGUUUCACCUGCUUCUUGACCUAUCCUUUUGCGCAUUUUAGGUAUUUGUCUGGAGUAUGGAUUUUUGUCUUGGCCGUACCCAUCUUCACCUCAGCCAUCACUCAUGUUAAAGCUGUUCUUAGGACCUGUGGCUGCAUUUGUCAGAAGUCCAUUGAACAGGUAAAUGCUCUUAGGUAUAGAUCUGAGGCAAAUGAAACUCUUUGGGCUAUAGCUGACUUCCCCACAGAAGUCACCCAGGAGAAACUGGGCUUGUUUGAGCAUUCACCCUGACACAGGGCCCAUCCUGACUACACAGCUCAUUGGUCUGUAACUGCACCUGGAUCCACUUGGGCCAGCAUUCUGUAUUGAGCCCUGCCCCUGGGAGUUGGUGCUUGCAUUUCUCUAGGAGAAUACUGGUUUUUAAAACACUCAAGAGCAACUCAAGCUGUAAGAGAGGUAGAUGCAAUAUCCCAGAGGCCAUGAUGGUUCCUGGUA